GGUUGCUAUGGUGGGAGCCCCGCGUGGCAACGCCCCACACCCGUCCACCCCACCCGGCUCCGUGCGCAUGCGCCUUUUUGCCUGCACAGGGGUGGGGGGGAGCCCCCCCCACACCCCUUCCCCACCUGGCUGAUGGGGGUCUGUUGGAGGGACCAGAUGUGCCCAGAUUGUGGGUCUGCUGAUCUUUGAGCACUGAGAAGCAGUGGCACACAGCUGAGAACCAGGUGUCAAGAAUGAAAAGAAAGGUUCUGGAAAGCCUUGGUUAUUGGAGUCCCAGGGAAGAGCAGUGGGAUGAGUAUGACCUGCACGGGAAGCUCACGGCAGGAGUACGUGUUGGAGAAGUCCUGGUCCAGGGAAGGUGAGGAGCCAGCGUGUAGCACUGUCCAAGGCAGACAGCCCACCUGAAGAGGAUAUGAAGAGUGUGCCCUGGGCCUAAGAAAUGACUCCUAACCGGCAGGCUUACUUAGUGAAGCGCAUUGGAAGUUCAUGGCUUUUGGAGCUGGGUGCUGACCUUGUCAUGGGGCAGCAGGUGAGGAGUAACUUUGACACUGCGACAUCAGGGGGCUGAUGAUCUGGAAGGCUGCAGUUUUGGGUUGCUAUAGACCUGGAGACUGCAUCACCUGGUGCAAAGAGUUGGUGCGCAGGCCCCGUCACCGUGGCCAGAGGCAGGCAGUAGUAGAGGGAGGUGAAGCCAGGGCUUUCUGCCCUGUGAUAAAUGAGUUGUAAUGCAAUGAUUUUUGCAUUCCAGGGUGUUUCUGUUGUGUUUCUGUAUGCAUCAGUGGAUAUGAAGAUUGUUCUAAAUCUUCCAAAGUCUGAGGAGCCUGAGAAAAACAGGCAGAUGGUUUGAUUUGUAGCAGGAAAGAAAAAAAGUGGAGAAAAUGUUAACUGUUAGAAAUUUAAUUCCGUCCCUCAACUCCAAUAAAACUCUUUGGGGUAAUAUGCAGAAGGUGUAGGUUUGGAAGGAAAGGAAUCUACCUUUGUGGGUAUCCUGGGACAUCUGUGAACUUGACAGCUGAAAUGGAUGGAGCCAAGCAGGAACAGUGCUGAACUUUGGGUCAGGAGAUGUGCCAGGCCAGAUGGGAAGGAAGCUUGGAAAGAGCAGAUGGCUCCCUAGCUUUUAUAUCUGCUGGUAGCCCCCAGUGCACAUGUAUUUCUGGAGGUAUAUCCCUGAGGCAUCCAGAACAGUCAAGGAGAUACUCCCCAGAUGAAGCAGAACUGGCUUUGCUUCCUUCCUCAGCUCUGUCUCAGACACUGGCUGGAUGUGACCUGUCAUCAUCUGGGGAACUUCCAGGCUAGGCCUCUGCCUUUGGCAAAGUGUAUAUGGCAAAUGGAUGAUAAAAACCUACUAUUUAAGGAUGUGGGGGUGGUGGGGGUGGUGAAGGCCACCCUUCUAUAAGUCAGGGCCUUUGACUAAACAUUCAGUGGGUUCUUGCAGUGGUGAUUAGUAGAGUAGUGCUUUGUCAUCCUCACUGGCUUGCCGUGGGACAUGCUAUUGAAGCAUCCUCAUGCCUGGAAUUCUGCUGUAGGAUAAUUGUGUGGGUCUUAUGUUCCCUUGUUUUCCCACAGGUGUCAAGGAGAGACUUGGAAAAUGUUGCCCUUGGCACAGCUGCAGACAGGACUGUGGUGGUGGGGGUUUGUGAGCAAUGUGGUCUCGCCCAUGACCCCAGAUGGCUUUACAGAAUCUGGCAUCUCCUUGCACUACCUCCCCUCCUGUGCCCGGUUCAUCUUCACUCCUCCGUACUUGGCAUUGGGGAUGUUGUGUUGCAAAGAUACCUCGCUGGAGAACAUUUCUGCAUUUCCUCACAGUUAUGCCCCAAGUCAAGGUGUGCCUGGCUACCAGACCAGCUCCAUGUUUCCUGGGUUGUGUUUACUGCUGCAGACCCAUUGCUGCCUUCUAGCCUUGCUUCAUGUCACAUGCUUUGCCGUGGGCUUGCAGCUCCAUAUAAAUAACAAGCCUCCCUGCUGUCCGUCAGGUGGGCUUGCUCAGCCUGAUCCCAGCUGAGGAGAUGCCCUGAGCUUGGCUGAGCCACAGGGCUUACACAUCAUGGCGUGCCUGGCCGCUUGCAACAUGGGGGAGGGUUGCCUGGUUGUUGGGGUGGGCAGGAAAGGAAAGAAAGCAAUUUCCUGGCCAAGAUGUGAACUUUUUAGAGAAAAGAUACAUAUGUGGGUUUUUUGGAAGGGGGGAUGACAAACUGGCAUCAGUGAGAUGCUUGGGCAGUAGAGUUCUAAGGAGCACUCCCUUGUCAUGUCGCCAGAGGCAGGGUAGGAUUGGUGCCUGAGCACCGAGGGGAACAGAGUUGAGGCAGGGACUGAACUGGGAGGGUGGCCAAUGUGUUUUCAUGGCUUGGGAAAGAGAGGAAAAGGAGGGACUUGCCAGCUUGUGUUGAACAGGUGUACCUGGAAGCAAAUGUGAGGUGUCUGCGAAGUUUUAUAGGACUGGCCUGGUCCUAUAGGUCUCACAGAGAAGCCAAAGAGUAAAGGGGAUGAAAUACAUGUGUGGUUCUGUACACACCCUCGCCCAUUCUCUUUUUGUCUACUGGAAGUGGAGUACUCCUGCAUACAAAGCACAGAGCUUGUGGUAGUCACUAACUUUGUUUCCAGGGGCUUGGCACAUUUUGCUGACUGUCACAAGGACAGUGGUUAGAUCUGGACAAUGUUCAUGAAGGGCUUUGUUGUCCUUUGCGGGGUAACUCUUCAGAAUACUUUAUCCCCCCUUGGAAGUUAUCACUGUUGGUGCCUGUGCUUUUUUAUGUUGUUUUGCUGCAUAAUCACUGGCAUUGCCUGCCUCUGAGUGCUCAAUAUAUUACACAGCCGCAAUUUAAUUUUUCCCUUUUAAAACUUCCACUGAGAGAAUUGGUAUGGUUGGUGACCCAGGCAGGUACCCGGCUGUGUCAAUCUUCACAGGAUGACUUCUCUACAAAAUAGGCAAAAUUGUAAUUACAGCUAAAGUCUCGUAUUUCUUCUGUUUAAUUGUGUACGGCUGGCAGCAAGGAUGUCAAUGAAAAAGCAGUGUGAUGUUCUUUUUAGAUUUAUAUUGAUGGGAAUAGACACAUGGGGAGAAAUACAUGAGAACUGCUUCCAGUCUAGAAGCAGCAGCUGCAGAAACAAGUGUUCCUUGUUUAUCAAGACCAUGGUAUGCACAAGGCUGGGAUUCAGCAGCUGGCUCCCAGGUCUCAGCCCCACUAAUGUGUGCUUGAGAGCCCGAGGUAAAUCAUCUGUUUUCUUUCUCCCCUUUCUCUCCAUUCGCUUGUACUGGGAGCUCCCUGAGCCAAGGAUUGUCUCAUGAAGUUGCAAGCUAGCCAGCUACCCUCAUCCUAUGGGCAAUGUCCCCCAGUGCCCAUGGGGCCUGGGACUCCUCUCUGAUCCUGAGAUGAACUGUUGGUUUACUUCUGCUUGGGUUUUUGGUUUUUGUUUUUUUUUCUUUCUUUCUUUCAGGAAUCUCUAAUCUCAGCUCUUUGAUGACUCUUAGAGUAGCAGAACACUUUAACCACUUACACCAUGACCUUCCCAACAGAGGAUGGCUUCUUGUGGGGACUGGUUGGGCUGUUCUCUUGAGUGUGAGUGAGAGGGUUUUUGGAGAAAGCUGCUUUCAUGUGAGGUCAGGGUCAGAGAGGAUUGCAGAGGCAAGUACUCUGUCUUCAGUGGGAUCACCCCUGCUUGCCACAGGCUUCCAGUCAUCUCACCCCAGCACUGAGUCACAUGAGACUGAGCUGGUUAGGCCCAGGCAGGGAAGGGAGAAUCAGACCUGGAGGCAUGUCCAGACCCUGGCUGAUCCUUAGGCUGGAGUCAGGAGGGGAGCAGAACAGCGACAUCCCAGAGGUCCCUCAUAUUUCCUUUUUCUUAUUGCUGCUCUCUCAGCCUCCUUUGUUCAGUGGAUUCCCUGCAAACCCCAGCUUCUGCCUUGUGCAAAGGGCUGGGCUUCCCCUGGUACUGUUCCUCUCAUGGUGAGAACCUUCUGUGCUCUUUCUUUCCCGUACCCUCUGCUAGGAGAUGUCCGGUUACACAGACACUGUGUCGUAAGGACAGCCUCUUGGUUUAAUUCACUGAUCAUCCAUGUUGUUCCAUCUGCCCUUGACAUGAUGUUCCCUCCACAUGUUGGCUGUGGAAACUCCCUUAGAAGGUCCCUGGUGUUGCUCAUGAUGAAGCAGAUGAGGUUUCUAAGCAGCCUAACUUGUCUCUUAAUGGACUUGUAGAAGCAGAUGUUAGAACCCCUGGAUUUCAGGCAGCUGAGGUACCAUGUAGAUGUUCUCUGCAUCUUUUCUGCUGUAAUCUGUAUCAUGGUAAGAGGUCUGCAGCCUUCCUUUUCUCUGCUAAGUCAGCCUGAAAACUGGCAUUCACAGUACGAAAGGUGAGACACUUUUAGUCUUUCUUGUGGUGCUGGAAACUAGGGCGCUAGUAAGUGCCUUCAUCUGGCAGUGGGGAGAGGAUGUCCUGGUUCUGACCUAAGUUAGAAUCACCCCUUUUCCUUGUGCAAGUCUGUAUAAGCACAGGGGUGAAAUAUGCCCAAAACUGAGACUGCUGGGAUGACCUUGACAUUUUGGACUUUUACAGCCAAAAUCCUUGGGUGGGUGGGUGGUGGGUGUGUGUGCGCAAAAGAGCCUGCAUUCCUGACAUUAUUAAAGUUAACAUUGUUAAUUAUGUGUGAGGGUAGAUUACUGUGUGGCAUGCAAGAAGUCAUUAAUGUUAAUCAAACAGCAGUACAAGAAAUAUCCUUUUUCUUUAUUAACAAUGACCUCCUGGAGGGAAUUUUCCCCUAGUGUUGAAAGGAAAUAUGCUGAGGGAAGAAAUAAAUAAAUAACAAAGCAAUUAAAUGAGAGGUAUUAAAGCAUGUUUUCGAUCUCCCUUUUCCGAUUCUGGGCCUUGAUUCAAAUCUCAUUCAACGUAUUCAGCUAUGUUGUGUAUUCUCGAGGAAAAACCUUGCUUGUGCUGGUUUUGCAAGCCAUCAGUUGUACUAGAAGGUCAAUUAAUAGCCAUAUUGACAGCUCCCCAAAUUCACAGUUUACUUCUCCAGGAAAGAUCUGAUCUUCAAGAAAGAUGCGGAAAGAUCAUACAGCACAGGUCUUCACCCAAUGCAAGCUGACUUCAGUCCAGUGAACUCCAAGUGGUUGGUGGUGUUGUGGUGAACUGAACUCCUUGCUUGUGUCUGCAGAUGCUGUACCAGCAUUGGAGAAGGAAGCGGCUCUUGCCACUCAGAGCUUCAAAUUACCAUGUAACAUAAGCAGUGAUGCCUAGGCAGAGGGACACACUGGCAAGCAGCAGAAAGGCAGGGCUUUAAUGCACUACCUUCCUGUCCAACUGCUUUAUUUUUUUUCUCAUUGAAGUAAAACUUUAUCCUGGAAUUUGAAGGAAAAAGAGAAGGUGGUUUUGGGAGUAGUUUAGAUGAAUACUUUUGGAGGAGAAUUGAAUUUUUCCUUGGGAAGCCAACAAAUGGUUCAGGAGACAUGUCCUCAUCUUUGAAAGUGUGGGAUAGCUGAAGUGUUAGUCCUGCUUCUGCUGUUUGCAUGAAGAAAGCAUCACCCCCCUGACAGAAUGACAUUGGUUGGUUGCCUGUAUAUUUUCAAGCCCAGAACUGGAGUGCUGGCCUGUAAACACUUCAGGCUUCUUGCUUUGUACAAACUCUGCAUAGUGGGACUGUGCUUGCUUUGCUCAGCUCAGUGGUACUUCUAGGUGGAUAAAGCUGCUUGAUGCUGAAGUGGCCGUGGCAUACUUGUAAUGACUGCCUUAGGGCAUGCUCAGUUGCUCUCUAUUUUCCUAGGGAGGUACAGCCAUGGUAAGUAAAUAAGGCCUUUCUGUUGUUGAGUGAUUUCCUACUAGGUAAAAAACUGUUCAGCUGGAGUCCUGAAGUUUAACGACCAGAAUCUAAGUGCCCGGUGGAAUUCUUUGACCUGAUAGGAAAUGAUGGAGAAUAACUGGAAGGAAAACAUCAAGUGUCAGUGUGGUUGGUUAAUUCCACAUCCAGCUGCCUAACUUCUCUUUAUUCUGUCCCUGCUGAUUUUAGAGGUCCCCGGCAUUUAAAAAGAGGAAGGGUUGAAUGCAUAAUGUCAGUGCAUUCUCCAAAUGAAUUUACUACUUGGUCAGGAAGUAACUGUUCAAACAAUUUAGCUUUUAAAACCAGUGAUCUCUCAAGAAUAUGGGUUCAUGCGUCAUUUUUAUUCCCCUUGCUGCCCUCAGUGGUUGAGGUGGGUAAUUGUUUGUUGGAUGGGCGUCUCUGUGUGUGUUCGUAUGUGUGUGGUUUUAUUAGUUUACUCUUAGUCCAGUAGUCUUUAGUCUUAGUCCAGUAAGAAAUUACUUUUGCCUAAUAAAUAUCUUUGAGUACUACACGUUGCUGUUGGGCUGGUGCAGUGAUGUGUCAUCACAACCUUGCUAACCCUGAUGGAUUUGGUUUCCUCUCGGAGAUCUCACAAUAAUUUGCCGAUUUUUUUUUUCCAAGUUCCAGCCCCUGGACUCACAUGAACAUAUGAGAGCCCUAUUAUUAGUUUUAUUGCAUUUGGUUAUGGCUGCUGGUUUGGCAGAGGGAAAACUGGGAAAUCUAACCCUGAUUUAUGAUUAAUGUAUUUUAAAAAAGGAAUAAAAAACAGAUAAAGAAAAGCAUUUAGAGUGUAUUGGUUUUGAGAUAUUUCGGAGGUGAUCUAGCUUUAAGGGAGCAUGAUAACUCAAUUUUUCAACAUCUGAGGUUUGCUGUCUUGUUGCUUAGUGACGGCAAAAACUGUUGUCCCUCUUGCAGGCUCUGGUUUCUGUCCUGAGUGCUGUGCAGCGAUUAGAGCUGCGGGGCUGUGCUAACUAUAAUUAUCUUUAAACAAAUGCAGAUAGCAGGCCUGGAGUGGGAGAUACUUAGAUAACAUGCAAGUGACUGCAAUAAUGGCUAUUCUUCUGGGAAAUGCAGCCAAACUGCAACUCUGUGCCCAGAGAAUAGCUCUGUGUACGUGUUAGGAAUUGCCAAAGCUGAGAGCGGAUGACAGAAUCCUCCACACUUAAAUAUAUUCUUUUCCAGAACAUGUGCACCUGUGUUUAUUUUCUUACCACGAAAGCAAACUUGGGAACAUGGCCCAUAGCAGCACUACCUAUCAAUGCGUGCCAUCAUACUUUCACCUGCCAUUUCUUUAUGAGCUUGAUCCUAUGAAUCUUACCAUUGAAUUAAACUGGGAAUUUCAUCUUCCCAUCCCACUAAGACAGAGUUGCCCAUAUAACUGUCUAACUGGAAAAUGGCCUGGCUGACUGUAUUUCACAGGAUUCUCUGUGCCCAUGCAGAUGGCAAGAGGCUUUGGCUGGAAGCUAAAAGACAUUUAUUUGAAGGAUUUUCUGAAAAUAUGAACAUAUUCUAAUAGCUAGACUUGUAAAAGCAAAGCUUUCAUGUUUGAGAAAUACAUUUUUGAGUGGUAGAGAAUGAUGAAAAUAUUAUAUUUAUUACCAAAUGCUUCUGAAAGACUUAAUACUCAUGAAACCAGCAGUGUGCCAGAGACAAUGAAGGGGAUCCUGUGGUGGGUCUCUGCACGUUUCCUUGCAAAGCAAUGCCAAAGCUCCUUAAUCCUGAUCUUAAUUAUUUCAGUGGAAGGCAUUUGCUGAACAAAGAACUGCGACUGUGUCAAAUCCGUGCACUGAGGUUUGUGAGGAGGUCAAAAUAUCCAGCCAGGGUGGAACUGGGGUCCACCAACACCAUAGCAUUGUGGCUGGGCUUGUAAGAUUUUAAGUGAAAGGCCUGACCCAUGCAGCUCUUCCUGCGGGAGCCAGGCACUUGACCCCCCAGCAAACUGUAAUGAAACUAAAGCUUCCUUGUCCCUGCCCUGCUUACGUGUUCUUAAAAGCUUAUUACACAGCUGGCAGUCUGAGAAGGGAUACGUACACACAAUUUCAUUCUGCCUCCUCAUGUUCACACGAUUUAAUUUUUCCUAAGCUAGCCAGCCAGUGCGUUCACUCACUUUUUCUACAGAAGUAUGUGCUAUGCAGAUGAAAAAAAAAUUUUUUUGCAAGUUUUUGUGAACAGCUCCUCAGAUAAGCGUUGGCCUCCUACAUGCUGAGACCCAUUCUUUGCUAUUUCUUGCACCCUUCUAAGGUUCCUCUGUAAGGUUUGUGUUGGUGGCAUUUUACAGCUCUGUGCCACCAGCUGCAUUGCGUGCUGUGAUCUGGCUUUUUGUCUCUUUGCUUCGAUGACUUGAAACUUUUGAACUGGAGUGAACUGACUACCAGCCGCUGGAUAUGAAGCAGUCUUGCUCACUCACAAAUAACUGUAUUUUUGUUCAACUAAAAGUACUGCUCUGAAAGUGAGUCUUGUGCGCUUGAACUUACUGAAACCCGAAGGAUGGGUAGCUACAAAUGUGAUAUGCAGUAUGGCCUAAGGAUUAACUGUGGGGACUUUGAUGUAUUAGUCUAAUUAAAGAUAAUAAAUGCGGUACACUUAUUUAUGUAUAACAAUAUGUACUCUUCUGAAAGGCCCUUUGAUGUUUUGGAGUGGGCUGGUCUUUUUGCUGAAUGUGUAUGUGUAGAGCAGCAUGUGAACGGCUGGCUGGGUGAAUUUUGGGGUUAUUCACUAUUUCACUGCCUUCUUGAGGGAAAAAUCUCAGUGGCCAAGUAUCCCGGUUUGUCUGGCAUGGGUGACUGCUUCUGUUUGCAAGCUACCUUGACUUCCUAAGGAUUUCUCUCUUGCAAUUGUUAAGCAUAAUAAACAUUCCCGCCCCUUCCCAAUGCCUCAAAUCCAACAAACGCAAUGCAGAAAAGAGCUUAAGUCCUUUCUAAUGAGAAGCAGCCAGGAAUCAUGCUGGCAAGUCAGCCCCUUGAGAACAGGCUGUUCUCUGCACUCAGAUGCUUCAUAGAUCAGAAUUUUGCUUCUUCAUCCUGAAAAAAAGUCUCAACCAAGCAGAAUUUGCUGCUCUGAAAUUCUGAGCAGACAGAAACCAUAACCACUUCAAAAUCUAGCAGAGUUUGUACAUAUAUGGGGAUUGUGAAUAUAUCUAGGCUGUGCACCAUUGGUUUGUCUUCCAACUAGAAAUUAAUGCAAUUACCUGACAGCACAACAGUUGUUUCUUAAAAAAACCCCAACCAACCAAACCAAAACCAUUUGUGACUGUUAUGUCUGCCCAUGCAGUGCCACGCAACCCAAAGCAGUCUGGCAGCUGGCUGGUGGCUGGCUUGGCUCUGCUGGGAAUGUAGCAGAGGAGCUCACUUCAACCGACAAAAACUUGAGGUUCUAGGUGGCCCUUUAAUUGUGGUUUCUUGAAAGCAUUAGGGGUUUGGAGUCUUGCUUCUCACAAAGGGCCUUCAUCAUAAAUGUGUAUAACUGAGGGGUGAUAUCAUGCUUAGUGAACAUUCGAAUUUGUGUUAUGUCCUAAAGCCCUUGGACUUAGCAGUAGUGAAGUUAUGGCUGUGAGCUGUUGUCUGGGAAGGACAGUAGUGAUUCGCUUUACAGAGAAGACACGUGGUGCGGUUAGCUAACCACCUUCUCCUGGGGAGCCUGGGGGAACUCGGCACGGACACCACGCUACUGUCCAGGAGACCCUGGGCUUCCUGGGACCAGUGAAGCGUGAAUCUGAGUCUUUGCAGGCUUCUCUGCCAUACUUUGUUUCUCUGCUGUGUGCAGACUGUGGCCCAAACUUGGGGAAAUGCUCCUUCUUUAUCGCCUGGCUUUUCUUCACUAAGUAAACUUGUGUUGAAACAUCCGAUCGUUUCAUUCCAACUUUAGAGCUUGCUGCUGGGAGACGGGAAUGGACAGUACCCCAGCAGGCUGCUGGAGGGCCUGCUUCACCACAGCAUGAACACACACAAACAUACAUGUGGAUAACUGGCUAGCUGAAAAGGGUCACAUAGACAUAGUCCAGCUGGCUGGACAAAAAUGCACAUCGCUCUCAGCUUAUCUGAAGUAAAGCAAAAAUACACUAUCCUUGGCUGUUCUUGUUACACAAUAACAGGAAGAUUUUGGUGGGAAAAGAAUGUUGCAGGUGGGAACAGAAAACUACAGAAGAGAAACUAGGGGCAGGCUUGAUAUUUAGGCAACUAACCAAUAAUGAGCUUAACUUUUGUAAUACGUAUGAGCUAA